CAGUCGCCGCGGGAAAACGUAGGGUCCGAGCGUUGUCCGGAAUUAUUGGGCGUAAAGGGCUCGUAGGCGGUUUGUUGCGUCGGGAGUGAAAACCCAGGGCUUAACUUUGGGCUUGCUUUCGAUACGGGCAGACUUGAGGCAUUGAGGGGAGAACGGAAUUCCUGGUGUAGCGGUGAAAUGCGCAGAUAUCAGGAGGAACACCGGUGGCGAAGGCGGUUCUCUGGCAAUGUUCUGACGCUGAGGAGCGAAAGUGUGGGGAGCGAACAGGAUUAGAUACCCCCGUAGUCCCUGUCUCUUAUAC
rnacentral:rRNA from 1 species